rnacentral:rRNA from 1 species
CCUGCUAUAAUGCAAGUCGAACGCUUUGUGGUUCAACUGAUUUGAAGAGCUUGCUCAGAUAUGACGAUGGACAUUGCAAAGAGUGGCGAACGGGUGAGUAACACGUGGGAAACCUACCUCUUAGCAGGGGAUAACAUUUGGAAACAGAUGCUAAUACCGUAUAACAAUGACAACCGCAUGGUUGUUAUUUAAAAGAUGGUUCUGCUAUCACUAAGAGAUGGUCCCGCGGUGCAUUAGCUAGUUGGUAAGGUAAUGGCUUACCAAGGCGAUGAUGCAUAGCCGAGUUGAGAGACUGAUCGGCCACAAUGGGACUGAGACACGGCCCAUACUCCUACGGGAGGCAGCAGUAGGGAAUCUUCCACAAUGGGCGAAAGCCUGAUGGAGCAACGCCGCGUGUGUGAUGAAGGGUUUCGGCUCGUAAAACACUGUUGUAAGAGAAGAAUGACAUUGAGAGUAACUGUUCAAUGUGUGACGGUAUCUUACCAGAAAGGAACGGCUAAAUACGUGCCAGCAGCCGCGGUAAUACGUAUGUUCCAAGCGUUAUCCGGAUUUAUUGGGCGUAAAGCGAGCGCAGACGGUUAUUUAAGUCUGAAGUGAAAGCCCUCAGCUCAACUGAGGAAUUGCUUUGGAAACUGGAUGACUUGAGUGCAGUAGAGGAAAGUGGAACUCCAUGUGUAGCGGUGAAAUGCGUAGAUAUAUGGAAGAACACCAGUGGCGAAGGCGGCUUUCUGGACUGUAACUGACGUUGAGGCUCGAAAGUGUGGGUAGCAAACAGGAUUAGAUACCCUGGUAGUCCACACCGUAAACGAUGAGUGCUAGGUGUUUGAGGGUUUCCGCCCUUAAGUGCCGCACCUAACGCAUUAAGCACUCCGCCUGGGGAGUACGACCGCCAGCGUUGAAACUCAAAGGAAUUGAGGGGACCCGCACACCCGUGGAACAUGUGGUUUAAUUCGAAGCACCACAAAAACCUUACCAUGUCUUGACUUCCAUUACCCCUCCAAAAAAGAAUGUUCCCUUCCGGUCAAGGAAAAGGGGAAGGAGGG